rnacentral:rRNA from 1 species
AGUGAACGCUGGCGGUAGGCCUAACACAUGCAAGUCGAACGGCAGCACAGUAAGAGCUUGCUCUUACGGGUGGCGAGUGGCGGACGGGUGAGGAAUACAUCGGAAUCUACUUUUUCGUGGGGGAUAACGUAGGGAAACUUACGCAAAUACCGCAUACGACCUACGGGUGAAAGCAGGGGAUAUUCGGACCUUGCGCGAUUGAAUGAGCCGAUGUCGGAUUAGCUAGGUGGCGGGGUAAAGGCCCACCAAGGCGACGAUCCGUAGCUGGUCUGAAAGGAGGAGCAGCCACACUGGAACGGAGACACGGUCCAGACUCCUACGCUAGGCAGCAGUGGGGAAUAUUGGACAAUGGGCGCAAGCCUGAUCCAGCCAUACCGCGUGGGUGAAGAAGGCCUUCGGGUUGUAAAGCCCUUUUGUUUGGAAAGAAAAGCAGCAGGUUAAUACCCCGCUGUUCUGACGGUACCCAAAGAAUAAGCACCGGCUAACUUCGUG